AAAACCCGCCUCUUCACUUUUUCGUCUCCCUCUCUUAAAAUUCCCAAUUCUCUAGAACCUUCCUCUCUCCCAUAUCUCUCACAAUCUCGAAAACAAACCAUUCUCUCUCUCACAUCUUUUUCCCCCAAAAAUGGCGCGUGACAUCCAACUCCCCUGCGACGGCGACGGUGUAUGCAUGCGAUGCAAAUCCAAACCUCCGCCUGAAGAAUCUCUCACUUGCGGCACGUGCGUUACGCCGUGGCACGUGUCCUGUCUCUCAACCCCACCCGAAACCCUAGCUUCCACUCUACAGUGGCAUUGUCCUGAUUGCUCCGGCGAAAUCGAUCCUCUUCCUGUUUCCGGCGACGUUUCUGGUUAUGGAUCUGUUGGUUCAGAUCUUGUUGCAGCGAUUCGCGCGAUUGAGGCUGAUGAGUCGUUGAGUACUGAAGAGAAAGCUAAGAAGAGGCAACAGUUAUUAAGUGGUAAAGGCGUCGUUGAGGAUGACGAAGAAGAGAAGAAGAGUAAAGGGAAGAAUUCAAAUCUCGAUGUUUUAUCUGCUCUUGGAGAUAACUUGAUGUGCUCUUUCUGUAUGCAAUUGCCUGAGAGACCUGUGACGAAACCAUGUGGGCACAACGCUUGCUUGAAAUGUUUUGAGAAGUGGAUGGGGCAGGGCAAGCGAACUUGUGGUAAAUGCCGAAGCGUUAUUCCGGAGAAAAUGGCUAAGAAUCCCCGUAUCAACUCGUCCCUUGUGUCUGCUAUUAGAUUAGCGAAAGUAUCUAAAAGUGCUGCUGCGGGUACUUCAAAGGUCUUUCAUUUCAUAAGCAAUCAAGACCGACCAGAUAAAGCAUUUACAACUGAGCGUGCAAAGAAAACUGGGAAGGCAAACGCUGCUAGUGGAAGGAUUUAUGUUACAAUACCACCAGAUCACUUUGGUCCUAUACCAGCUGAAAACGAUCCUGUCAGGAACCAAGGUCUUUUGGUUGGAGAAUCCUGGGAAGACAGACUCGAGUGUAGGCAGUGGGGGGCUCAUUUCCCUCAUGUUGCUGGCAUUGCUGGACAAUCAAAUUAUGGAGCUCAAUCUGUAGCACUCUCUGGAGGUUAUGAGGAUGAUGAGGAUCAUGGAGAAUGGUUUCUAUACACAGGAAGUGGGGGAAGAGAUCUCAGUGGCAACAAAAGGACUAACAAGGAGCAGUCCUUUGAUCAAAAAUUUGAAAAGUCUAAUGAAGCCUUAAGACUUAGCUGCAAACUGGGGUAUCCUGUUCGAGUUGUCAGGUCUCACAAGGAGAAGCGUUCUGCAUAUGCCCCUGAGGAGGGAGUGAGAUAUGAUGGGGUGUACCGGAUAGAGAAGUGCUGGCGGAAAGUUGGAAUACAGGGUUCUUUCAUGGUCUGUCGUUACCUGUUUGUUAGAUGUGAUAAUGAGCCAGCUCCAUGGACUAGUGAUGAGCAUGGAGAUCGUCCAAGACCUUUGCCUAAUAUUCCAGAGCUGAAUAUGGCCACAGACCUAUUUGAGAGAAAAGAAAGUCCAUCAUGGGAUUUUGAUGAAGCUGAGGGUUCUUGGAGAUGGAUGAAGCCGCCACCUGCUAGUAAAAAGUCAGUGAAUGUUUUGGAUCCUGAGGAGAGGAAAACUUUGAGGAAAGUCAUAAAGGCAGCACACUCGAAUACCAUGAGGGCAAAACUUCUGAAAGAAUUUAAGUGCCAGAUUUGUCGGCAAGUGCUGACUCUUCCAGUGACCACGCCGUGUGCUCAUAACUUCUGCAAGGCAUGCUUAGAAGCCAAGUUUGCUGGGAAAACGCUAGUGAGGGAGAGAAGCAGAGGUGGACGAACUCUACGAGCACAGAAGAAUGUGAUGAACUGCCCUUGUUGCCCCACUGACAUUUCUGAUUUUCUCCAGAACCCUCAGGUAAAUAGAGAAGUCAUGGAGGUCAUAGAGAGGUUGAAGAAUCAGGAAGUGGACAAUGCCGAGAUUGUAGAUGAAGGCGAAGGCGAAGGUUCAGGUACCAACGCUGAAGAAGAAACUCUGGCCGAGUCUGAAGAUGCUGAGCAACCAAAGAAACGGAUUAAGUUGGACACCGACACAGCAGUUUCUGCGACUGCUGUGUAAUCUGGCAUGAAGCAAGUAGGUAGGAGCCUUUCCAAUGGCUUUUUUUGGACGGAACCAUCAGCAUUUCUUUUCGUUGCAGUUAAAAAUUUCUUCAAGGGAGAGCUUCAUUGAGAACAAUAAGAAGAAGAAGCUCAAGCAAAAGAAGAAGCAAAGGCUCGUGAUUGAAGGAAGAAGUUGUCGUGAAGAGAAGUCAACGACACAAGAAGAGAGGCACAAGUCAACAAGAAGAAUGAGUUGGGCUUUAGGUGUUUUGUAAUAAUAUUAUUAUUGGGCUAUUAGUUAAGUUAGCCCAACGAAGAAAGAGUGUUGUUAUUAGCCAUGUUUCUUUUCAUAAUCGUGCGACUCUCACCUAUUUUCAAAAACUGAGUUUUUUUUGCCAUCUUGUAAUUAAGAGUUUUUCUAAGA